rnacentral:lncRNA from 1 species
CAGUGGUCACGUUCAUCACGGGGAGUUUGCGCCUGUACACGGAAGAAGUUGCUCCCACUUGCAGUGCACUAUUCCGACAUCACACUUCACACACGUGAAGAUGGAGGGUGACACGCCAUUCAGUUCAGUCACGAGGUAGGUGUUCCCUCUUACGUCACCAGGAAACUAGUAAUUUUGAUAUGAACUUAACUGCUCCGGUACUUUAU